rnacentral:rRNA from 1 species
CUACGGGGUGCACCAGUGGGGAAUAUUGCACAAUGGGCGCAAGCCUGAUGCAGCCAUGCCGCGUGUAUGAAGAAGGCCUUCGGGUUGUAAAGUACUUUCAGCGGGGAGGAAGGGAGUAAAGUUAAUACCUUUGCUCAUUGACGUUACCCGCAGAAGAAGCAUCGGCUAACUCCGUGCCAGCAGCCGCGGUAAUACGGAGGGUGCAAGCGUUAAUCGGAAUUACUGGGCGUAAAGCGCACGCAGGCGGUUUGUUAAGUCAGAUGUGAAAUCCCCGGGCUCAACCUGGGAACUGCAUCUGAUACUGGCAAGCUGGAGUCUCGUAGAGGGGGGUAGAAUUCCAGGUGUAGCGGUGAAAUGCGUAGAGAUCUGGAGGAAUACCGGUGGCGAAGGCGGCCCCCUGGACGAAGACUGACGCUCAGGUGCGAAAGCGUGGGGAGCAAACAGGAUUAGAUACCCCCGUAGUC